rnacentral:rRNA from 1 species
UACAGAGGGGGCAAGCGUUGUUCGGAAUUACUGGGCGUAAAGGGCGCGUAGGCGGCCUGCUAAGUCGAACGUGAAAUCCCCGGGCUCAACCCGGGAACUGCGUCCGAUACUGGUUGGCUUGAAUUCGGGAGAGGGAUGCGGAAUUCCAGGUGUAGCGGUGAAAUGCGUAGAUAUCUGGAGGAACACCGGCGGCGAAGGCGGCUACCUGGACCGGUUCUGACGCUGAGGCGCGAAAGCGUGGGUAGCAAACAGG